rnacentral:rRNA from 1 species
UACGUAGGGCGCAAGCGUUAUCCGGAAUUAUUGGGCGUAAAGAGCUCGUAGGCGGCCUGUUGCGUCCGCUGUGAAAGCCCGGGGCUUAACCCCGAGCCUGCAGUGGAUACGGGCAGACUAGAGGUAGGUAGGGGAGAAUGGAAUUCCCGGUGUAGCGGUGAAAUGCGCAGAUAUCGGGAGGAACACCGGUGGCGAAGGCGGUUCUCUGGGCCUUACCUGACGCUGAGGAGCGAAAGCGUGGGGAGCGAACAGG